CUCCAUUUUGCUAUCUUCAGGAUAACAAAAACACAUAAUUUCCUUGAUUUCUUCUUACUUUCUGUAACUAGCCACUUGCUUGAGCUAAGGAAUGCAUUAUCUAAACACAGACACUAGUGACAGAGAAGACUAAGUAAUUAAUUUUACUUUCUAAAUUUUACAAGGUUCCAUUGUAAGUAAGGGGUGAAAUUGAGUUUAGAACUGUCAAUUUUACAAGUUACAAUCAAAGUAGUUGCCACAAAGACUGGGACAAA